UAGGGAAUCUUCGGCAAUGGGGGGAACCCUGACCGAGCAACGCCGCGUGAGUGAAGAAGGUUUUCGGAUCGUAAAGCUCUGUUGUUAAGGAAGAACGAGUGUGAGAAUGGAAAGUUCAUGCUGUGACGGUACUUAACCAGAAAGGGACGGCUAACUACGUGCCAGCAGCCGCGGUAAUACGUAGGUCCCGAGCGUUGUCCGGAUUUAUUGGGCGUAAAGCGAGCGCAGGCGGUUAGAAAAGUCUGAAGUGAAAGGCAUUGGCUCAACCAUUGUAGGCUUUGGAAACUGUUUAACUUGAGUGCAGAAGGGGAGAGUGGAAUUCCAUGUGUAGCGGUGAAAUGCGUAGAUAUAUGGAGGAACACCGGUGGCGAAAGCGGCUCUCUGGUCUGUAACUGACGCUGAGGCUCGAAAGCGUGGGGAGCGAACAGG
rnacentral:rRNA from 1 species